rnacentral:misc_RNA from 1 species
AAUGCAUAUUGCGCCCUAUGGGCAUUUGUGGGGCAUGCCUGUCUCAAUGUCAGUAAAAUCCAUCAACUUCUGACUUUUUUGUUAGAACAUGGAUUCUGUCAGAGAAGCUGUGAUCUCCCAGGUCAUAGCUUCUUAAAAAUUUAUAAAUGUUCAAACUACCAUGUUGGAAAUAUAAUAUGGUUAUUUUCAUUCCACAGGGUUUGUUUUGGACCAUCCUAAAACUCACAUGCUAUCAAGGACCUUCAAGCAUUUGACUUGAGAUCAAGUAGGGAUACCCGCUGAACUUAA